CACGUAGUUAGCCGUCCCUUUCUGGUAAGAUACCGUCACAGUGUGAACUUUCCACUCUCACACUCGUUCUUCUCUUACAACAGAGCUUUACGAUCCGAAAACCUUCUUCACUCACGCGGCGUUGCUCGGUCAGACUUCCGUCCAUUGCCGAAGAUUCCCUACUGCUGCCUCCCGUAGGAGUCUGGGCUGUGUCUCAGUCCCAGUGUGGCCGAUCCACCCUCUCAGGUCGGCUAUGUAUCGUCGCCUUGGUGAGCCGUUACCCCACCAACUAGCUAAUACAACGCAGGUCCAUCUGGUAGUGAUGCAAUUGCACCUUUUAAGCAAAUGUCAUGCAACAUCUACUCUUAUGCGGUAUUAGCUAUCGUUUCCAAUAGUUAUCCCCCGCUACCAGGCAGGUUACCUACGCGUUACUCACCCGUUCGCAACUCAUCCAGAGAAGCAAGCCUCCUCCUUCAGUCGUUCUACUUGCAUGUAUUAGGCACGCCGCCAGCGUUCG
rnacentral:rRNA from 1 species